CAUUUCUUCUUUCCACUCCUCAGCACUGGAUAUUGUAUUUAGGGCGCGUUUGGUUCGCACUAUGAAAGAUUAUUAGGAAUAAAAAGAUAUCCGAGAAUCUUAUUUUCAUUCAUCCUAUUACUAAGAAUAUAGCAUUCGUGUAUUUGAUUCGUACGGCCAUAUUAUUUAGUUAUGUUAUUUAAGAUUACAAAAAAAAUAUACAAUUAUUUAUUUAUUUUUUAAUUAAUUUUAGAUAAUGCUACAAAAAUUUCAACAUCUUUUUAGAAAAAAAGGAGAAAGAACAUAGGUUAAAGAGAGAAAGCAUAAUUAAAGAAAUAGAAAGAGUCGAGGUUAGAGAGAAUGAGAGAGUUGAGAUUUUAGAAAAAGAAAGAGAGAGAGAGCUUAGUAUAGAGAGAGAAAAAUAAUUGAAGUUUAGAGAGAAAAAGAUAAGUUUAGAGAGAGACAUAAGGUUAGAGUGUAAAGAAAAAUAAUACCAACUAGCCGACGAGUAGAGAGAAAGAAAGAGAUUAGACAUAUUAUGAUUAUCCCGAUCCAUUAGUAUGAGAAUACCCACCCUCUCUCAAGGGAAUGAGAUUAGUACUUUGGGAUGAAUCUCAUUUUCAAGUAAAUCUAGUAUUACCAACUAGAUUACUUAGCGCGUUUAGCCAAACACCGCCAUAUUUUUUUAUUCCUAUUGGAUUACUAGGAAUCUUAAAAAGAUAGCGCUAACCAGACGCACCCUUAAGACAAUCUCCCUAGGAAAAGAAACCCAUGAGAACGGAGAUAAAUUCCUUUUUUUCAUAUUAAAAUAAAAGAUAAUUGCCUAUAUACUCCUCAUACGUUUGAAAAUAUCCGAUUUACCCCUACUUUUUUUUCUUUCUAAAAUACCCCUUAUAUGUUCCACCGUUAUUGCAAAAUACCCCAACAGUUAUCUCUUGUUAAGUUAACUUGAAUUAAACAUGAGUUAAAUAUCUACCACAGUUAAAAAAAAUUAAAAUGUCAAUUUUGCCCUUAACUUUAGGGCAAAUAAGAAAUGUUGGUGAUGGUAGAGAGGUAUAUUAGAAAAGACCAAAAGUCAAAAUACUUUUUGUACCCCUGACUUAAUUUAAGGGCAAAUAAGAAAGUCAGUGAUGGUGGAAGGGUAUUUGAAAGGGUAAAAUAGUAAUUUUACAGAGAUAACAAAGUUAAUUAACAGAUUUUAACUAUAGGGGUAUAUUAGAAAUAGGUUGGAACGUAGAAAGAGUAUUUUCAAUAUUAGCCUUCUAAGAGGGGUAAAUCGAAAAGUCAGAAACCUUUCAGGGGUAU
rnacentral:lncRNA from 1 species